UCCGCUUACAAUGUCUAAAGUAUGAGUUUAAUCAUGCUUAGAUACUGAACCAACAGAGACCAUAACUGUUAGGUUAAGCAUAACAGGUUCAUCACCACCCUGGAACUGGCUGUGCCUCUUGCCAUCACCAACACAGGUUUGUUUUCCUGCCUGGAGCCUAACUGUGAGGCUCUUGUCAUAAUGGAACUUGCCAGCUAUUCAAGAAUACAGCCAGCCUGGAGUUGGUAGUUUUGGCUUCUUUUCUAAGACUUCAUUUUUUUAAAAAGGCAUAGUUUAGCCAUUACAGCAAAAUUGAAAGGCAGGCACAGAGGUUUCCCACAUACACCAGCCUUACAUGUGACCUGAUUGGUUUUUAGGUUUACUGUUGUCCUGGUGGCUAACAUUUGCUGUUUGUACAUCAUCCUUGGAGAGGGAUUGCUGCAUAUGUGGGUUCCCUGUCUGCCUUUCUCCUCAUUUAGCAGGAUUUCCUUUAUCAGCCUGUCUUCUGUACUGUUCAAGGGUGGAGGCUGCAGGUUCUCUUGGGUCUGAGAAACCCCCCCCGAGGAAUGUUUAUAAUCUUCAAGAAUGAUGAGCUCCUGGUCUGUUUUAUCCUUUUUUUUUUUUUUUUUUUUGGUGGUCUCGGAGACUGAACCUACAGCAUCAUUCAUGCUGGGCAAACGUUUUACCACUGAGUUCUAGUCCCAGCCCUCUCUUUGUGGUUUAUUUAAAGACAAGAUCAUAGUAAUUUGUCCACUCUGACCUUGAACUCAUUCUGAAACCCAGGCAGCCCUCCUCCUUCAGCCUCUAGAACAGUGGUUCUCAACCUUUGGGUUGCAACCCCUUUGGGUGUUGAAUGACUCUUUUACAGGGGUCACCUAUGACUAUUGGAAAAACACAGAUAUUUACAUAAUGAUUCAUAACAGUAAAACAAAACAAAACAAAAAACAGUAGCAAUGAAAUAAUUUUAUGGUUGGGGGUCACGAGAACACGAAGAACUGUACUAAAAUGUUGCAGCAUUAGGAAGGUUGGGAACCACUGCUCUAGAGUAUCAGGAUUUAGAAGAUGUGCUCCAACAGAUCUGCCUGCCUCCACCCCCUACCCCCCACCCCCAUAGAUCUGGGAAUGGAACCCAGAGCCUGGUGCACACAAGGCAACUGUUCUCUAACUGAGUUACAAUCCAGCUCUGGAGGACAUUUUUUAUUCUGUGCAAAUAUUCAGGCAAAGUUGGUUGGCAUCUGAGCUUUGCUGUGUUCAGGCACUGGGCUCGACGUUUCGACAUGCUUUAAAUCCUUAGUAGGCUUCAUUUCUACAGCAUCCGUGAGAACAACGUCUAGCCCCAUUUGUGAGCUGAGUGGUUGCUGGAAGCAUCCCAGCAUCUCCUCCUCUUACAGAGAGGCAGAGCCUAGUGGAUGUCCAAGCAGGCCACUGUGUCACAUGAUGUCAUCACAUCUUCUCCAAUGAGGAAGCUGGGGGAGAUGCCCUUCUAAGACAUCCCGAGACCCACAGUGAUGAAGACCCACUAGGGUAUCCAUCAGAUCUCCAAGGAACAAGUUGAAGAGGACAAAAGGAGAGACUCCUGACCUACUCUGUAUUGGGAGUGUCCAGGGACAGCAGUGAUCUUCGAUCAGCUUCCUGGCUGCCCCUGCCUCUGUCUGCCUUGACACCACCCUUCUCCAGCUCAGGACUACAGGUUUUACAAAAGGGUCGGAUUCCUGAUUGGAACCACAUGGCUUAGCAGCUUCCCAGGAGGCAGAAGGCAGGAGAUAGGACCAGGCUAGGGGGCAGGAUCCAUCUGGACCUGCUCAAUUCCAACAACUCCUGAGUACCCUCUCAGUAUUCUUUUGCAGGUAGGCACUGCACAGGGACAUUGUCUCCUGGAAACAGAAGGAAGGAUCCAUCUGUCCAUGCACUUGGUCAUCUUCGGUGCUGGUGUGAGGAUCCUUCCUUCUGGCAUAUUUCCUGUAUAAACAAAAGGUCAGAUGGGGAGGGGGUGGUGGUGGAGGGGGACCCCCUUCUCCCUGAGCCCUACACAGGGCAGAUUCUUCUUCUGUAACUUACUUGCCUUUUAGAAAGAACAUUUUAUUUGUACUUUGUUUCUAUUUUUAAGUUCCUUCAAAUUGACUUCUGACCUUGGGCAAAGGCAGCAGGGAACUUCCUCUCAGUCUUAUCUUUUUGUUUUGUUUUGUGUUUUUAUUUUACAGUGUAUAAAACUGCUAGGAGGCUUAAUUUGGAUACAAUGAGCCUGAUACCAGAAACCUAAUCUCCCGCAUGCAUACCCUGGACCGCUUUCCUCUUCUAAAUACAGCCCCACAUUUUACACUUGGGAAGCUAUUUUCCUACUUGACAAGCUGUGGAUAAAAAGGAUGGUUAAAAAAAAAGUGAUGUAUGUUUUUCUGCUCUAAUGAAAGGAGAAGGUAGAUCAUAGAAUAAGGAUGUGGUACAAGAAUCCCCACAGCUUGGCCCAUUUCACUCGGCCCCAGGGCUCAGGCUCAGUUAAGGGGCCCUAUUUCUCCCCUCUUUUCAGCGUCAGUGCCCAUUCUGUCUGUUAUUACAUCUCGUUCAGAAACAAGAACUUGAGAAUUUAUAAAUGAUUAAAUAAACCUUUGGUUAGAAGCACCGUGUCAUCAAGCUGAAGGAAGCUCCCGCCCUGCCCUGUCUAGUCCUGACUAUUGAUGUAUCUUUGUUGGGGAGAAAUCCUUGCCACCUCUGCCCCAUCCAGAGCAGGGGGAUGCUAUUCACAUGUUUUCUUCCUGGCUUUAGGUCAAAGAGAAGUCUUGAGUAGUGUGGGGAGAGAUGAUGCAAACGAUGACUUUCAUCAUGACUUUUUGAUCCCUGUCUUCCUCACCCUUCAGAGCCAGCAAAAGAGAUUGCUGGCUUGGAUGUUCCUGGGUGGUGGGAUCAAUGCUCUGAGGGGAAGGAGGUCUGGGAAGCAGUUUUCCUGGGUAGAACCUGGGGCUGAGCUGAGGUCUCCACAUCAUGCUGAAGAUGAGCCCUCUACCUUUGUUCUGAUACUGAGUUGGAUGUCCCCGGAAUUAUAUUUGGGAUUUUUAAAAAAAGAUUUAUUUAUUUAUUAUAUGUAAGUCACUGUAGCUGUCUUCAGACACACCAGAAGAGGGAGUCAGAUCUCAUUAGGGAUGGUUGUAAGCCACCAUGUGGUUGCUGGGAUUUGAACUCAGGACCUUCGGAAGAGUAGUCGGGUGCUCUUACCUGCUGAGCCAUCUCACGAGCCCUAUAUUUGGGAUUCUUUAGAUGUUUCUAAAGUCCCUGGCUGCUGGUUCUGAGAGUUGAAGAAGAGAACUCCAAGUAUUUAUUUUCCUGGAAUAUAUAUUUAUAUUUGGUUUUUCAAGACAGGGUUUCUCUAUAUAGUCCUGGCUGUCCUGGAACUCACUCUGUAGACCAGGCUGGCCUUGAACUCAGAAAUCCGCCUGCCUCUGCCUCCCAAGUGCUGGGAUUAAAGGCGUGUGCCACCACCGCCCGGCCUUCCUGGAAUAUAUUAAUCUGAUAUAAUAUUGCCUGGGAACUGGCUAGAGAGACACAGUAGGAACACUCCUGCUGCUGUUCCUUUGGACACUGGCUUUCUGUUUGGACUGACAAAUUAUCUCCCGUCUUUCUACGCAUGCCUUAUUCUCUUUUGCACC
rnacentral:lncRNA from 1 species